ACUCUAGGCGGUGGAUCACUCGGCUCGUGCGUCGAUGAAGCGCAGCCAACUGCGUGGUGUGUAAAGUGCGGGGCACAUUGAACAUCGACAUCUUGAAACAUUGCGGCUUUGGGUCCUCGGGCCACACGCCUGUCUGAG
rnacentral:rRNA from 1 species